ACCAUUAAAUACGCAAAUUAAUUCUAGUAUACGUCUCUAUGCCCACAAUAAAAGGUGGUAAAGACAAUUAGAAUUAGAGGUGACUUAAUUCAUUUCCCAAAUUUCGAAUUUAAUUUGAAACUUGCAGACAAAAUAAUGACUUGUACUGUUGCGCAGAUUAGUCAAAAAAGAUGAAGUUAGAAUUGAUUAGAGAAGCUUCUUUCAUUUUCCAUUAAAGGGACCAAAGAUAUGUGGCUAUAUUUGAUUUAGUUUCAUUCUGCAAUUGGCUUCACUUGUAAAUAGUCUUCGUCAAUUUCACACUCCAAUUAAUUAAUUAGUUAAAAUUGAUUGGAGACAAAAACCAUUUA
rnacentral:lncRNA from 1 species